rfam:Streptomyces sp. F-1 isolate Streptomyces sp. F1 genome assembly, contig: gnlCTBESTEPF1_49
CUUCAGCGAGCCGAGCCACAACGGCCGGUCCCCGGCGCGUUCCCUGCCGUAGGUGGCCAGCAGUGCCUGCGCCUC